rnacentral:rRNA from 1 species
ACGGGGUGCAGCAGGCGCGAAACCUUUACACCGCACGACAGUGCGAUAGGGGGAUCCCAAGUGCACAGGCAUAGCGCCUGUGCUUUUCGGUACCCUAAGGCGGUACCAGAAUAAGGGCUGGGCAAGACCGGUGCCAGCCGCCGCGGUAAUACCGGCAGCCCAAGUGAUGGCCGAUCUUAUUGGGCCUAAAGCGUCCGUAGCUGGCCGCGCAAGUCCAUCGGGAAAUCCACCUGCUCAACAGGUGGGCGCCCGGUAGAAACUGCGUGGCUUGGGACCGGAAGGCGCGACGGGUACGUCCGGGGUAGGAGUGAAAUCCCGUAAUCCUGGACGGACCGCCGAUGGCGAAAGCACGUCGCGAGAACGGAUCCGACAGUGAGGGACGAAAGCCAGGGUCUCGAACCGGAUUAGAUACCCGUGUAGUCC